rnacentral:ribozyme from 12 species
ACCAUUCUUAAUAAUUAAAUUUAAAAAGAAAGAAAGGACAAACACUUAAGUUGUUUUUUCUUAUUUUUUCUAUUGAUAUCUUUAUGUAAUAUAUAAAAGAUUUGCUUCAUUUAAUGUUUUUAAUAUAGCUUUAUGA